ACUUGGAUACUGUGGUAAUUCUAGAGCUAAUACAUGGCGACUAAGCGCCGAACUCACGUGACGCGUGCAUUUAUUAGAACAAAACCAUCCGGCUUCGGCCGUUCUUUGGUGACUCUGAAUAACUCAGCUGAUCACACUGUCUAGUACAGGUGACGUAUCUUUCAAGUGUCUACCUUAUCAACUUUCGAUGGUAGUUUAUGUGCCUACCAUGGUUGUAACGGGUAACGGAGAAUCAGGGUUUGACUCCGGAGAGGGAGCCUGAGAAACGGCUACCACUUCUAAGGAAGGCAGCAGGCGCGCAAAUUACCCAUUCUCGGCAUGAGGAGGUAGUGACGAAAAAUACCGAGGCGAUGCCCAUUCGGGUGUCGUCAUUGGAAUGAGAAAAAUAUAAAUCUUUUAACGAGGAUCUAGUGGAGGGCAAGUCUGGUGCCAGCAGCCGCGGUAAUUCCAGCUCCGCAAGUGUAUAUCUAUGCUGCUGCGGUUAAAAAGCUCGUAGUUUGAUUCGCGUACUUAGCACGCAGUGUGGCCUGACGGCUACUACUGUGAUGCGGUACAUUAUCGUUGGUUUGUCGUUGAUGCUCUUAAUCGGGUGUUAGCGGCUGCUGACAAGUUUACUUUGAACAAAUUAAAGUGCUCAAUACAGGCGUUUCGCUUUGUAUAGUUUCUGGCAUGGGAAUAAUAGAAAUAGGACCUUAACG
rnacentral:rRNA from 1 species